CGUGAAUACAUAGCGUAAUGAAGCGAACCGGGGGAACUGAAACAUCUAAGUACCCCGAGGAAAAGAAAUCAACCGAGAUUCCCCCAGUAGCGGCGAGCGAACGGGGAGCAGCCCAGAGUCUGAAUCAGCAUGUGUGGUAGUGGAACGGUCUGGAAAGUCCGACGGUACAGGGUGAUAGUCCCGUACACAAAAGUGCAUGUGUUGUGAACUCGAAGAGUAGGGCGGGACACGUGGUAUCCUGUCUGAAUAUGGGGGGACCAUCCUCCAAGGCUAAAUACUCCUGACUGACCGAUAGUGAACCAGUACCGUGAGGGAAAGGCGAAAAGAACCCCGGCGAGGGGAGUGAAAAAGAACCUGAAACCGUGUACGUACAAGCAGUGGGAGCCUCUUUAUGGGGUGACUGCGUACCUUUUGUAUAAUGGGUCAGCGACUUAUAUUCUGUAGCAAGGUUAACCGAAUAGGGGAGCCGAAGGGAAACCGAGUCUUAACUGGGCGUUAAGUUGCAGGGUAUAGACCCGAAACCCGGUGAUCUAGCCAUGGGCAGGUUGAAGGUUGGGUAACACUAACUGGAGGACCGAACCGACUAAUGUUGAAAAAUUAGCGGAUGACUUGUGGCUGGGGGUGAAAGGCCAAUCAAACCGGGAGAUAGCUGGUUCUCCCCGAAAGCUAUUUAGGUAGCGCCUCGUGAACUCAUCUUCGGGGGUAGAGCACUGUUUCGGCUAGGGGGUCAUCCCGACUUACCAACCCGAUGCAAACUGCGAAUACCGAAGAAUGUUAUCACGGGAGACACACGGCGGGUGCUAACGUCCGUCGUGAAGAGGGAAACAACCCAGACCGCCAGCUAAGGUCCCAAAGUCAUGGUUAAGUGGGAAACGAUGUGGGAAGGCACAGACAGCCAGGAUGUUGGCUUAGAAGCAGCCAUCAUUUAAAGAAAGCGUAAUAGCUCACUGGUCGAGUCGGCCUGCGCGGAAGAUGUAACGGGGCUAAACCAUGCACCGAAGCUGCGGCAGCGACACUAUGUGUUGUUGGGUAGGGGAGCGUUCUGUAAGCCGUUGAAGGUGUGCUGUGAGGCAUGCUGGAGGUAUCAGAAGUGCGAAUGCUGACAUAAGUAACGAUAAUGCGGGUGAAAAACCCGCACGCCGGAAGACCAAGGGUUCCUGUCCAACGUUAAUCGGGGCAGGGUGAGUCGACCCCUAAGGCGAGGCCGAAAGGCGUAGUCGAUGGGAAACAGGUUAAUAUUCCUGUACUUGGUGUUACUGCGAAGGGGGGACGGAGAAGGCUAUGUUAGCCGGGCGACGGUUGUCCCGGUUUAAGCAUGUAGGCGGAGAUUCCAGGUAAAUCCGGAGUCUUGCUAACGCUGAGGUGUGAUGACGAGGCACUACGGUGCUGAAGUAACAAAUGCCCUGCUUCCAGGAAAAGCCUCUAAGCAUCAGGUAACACGAAAUCGUACCCCAAACCGACACAGGUGGUCAGGUAGAGAAUACCAAGGCGCUUGAGAGAACUCGGGUGAAGGAACUAGGCAAAAUGGUGCCGUAACUUCGGGAGAAGGCACGCUGAUAUGUAGGUGAAGUGAUUUACUCAUGGAGCUGAAAUCAGUCGAAGAUACCAGCUGGCUGCAACUGUUUAUUAAAAACACAGCACUGUGCAAACACGAAAGUGGACGUAUACGGUGUGACGCCUGCCCGGUGCCGGAAGGUUAAUUGAUGGGGUUAUCCGUAAGGAGAAGCUCUUGAUCGAAGCCCCGGUAAACGGCGGCCGUAACUAUAACGGUCCUAAGGUAGCGAAAUUCCUUGUCGGGUAAGUUCCGACCUGCACGAAUGGCGUAAUGAUGGCCAGGCUGUCUCCACCCGAGACUCAGUGAAAUUGAACUCGCUGUGAAGAUGCAGUGUACCCGCGGCAAGACGGAAAGACCCCGUGAACCUUUACUAUAGCUUGACACUGAACACUGGUCCUUGAUGUGUAGGAUAGGUGGGAGGCUUUGAAGUGUGGACGCCAGUCUGCAUGGAGCCAACCUUGAAAUACCACCCUUUAAUGGCUGGUGUUCUAACGUAGACCCGU
rnacentral:rRNA from 1 species